rnacentral:rRNA from 1 species
UACGUAGGGUGCGAGCGUUGUCCGGAAUUAUUGGGCGUAAAGAGCUCGUAGGCGGUGUGUCGCGUCGGCCGUGAAAACCUGGGGCUCAACUCUGGGCGUGCGGUCGAUACGGGCAUCACUGGAGUUCGGCAGGGGAGACUGGAAUUCCUGGUGUAGCGGUGAAAUGCGCAGAUAUCAGGAGGAACACCGGUGGCGAAGGCGGGUCUCUGGGCCGAUACUGACGCUGAGGAGCGAAAGCGUGGGGAGCAAACAGG